AUUCUGAAGAAAUAAGAGUGGUUGUGGGGUUCACAGCAGUGGUUGUAUAACCUUCAGUGGUCAAAGAUUGUGCUGUAGCAGCAUUUGUUGUUGUUGUAGGUGCAGUUGCUGAUGAUAUAAGAGUUUUUGUGGGGUUCACAGCUUUGGUAGUAGAAGCUUCAGCUGUCGAAGACAGUGGAAUUAUUGUUGGAGCAGAAUUUUCUUUUGAUGUAGGUAUUGAGAAUACAGGCAUAGUUGUGGGAUUCACUGCUGUGGUGGUUAAAGCUUCAUUUGUUUUUGAAAAUGUUGUUGUUUGAGCAGUAUUUGCCGUGGUUGUAGUUUCUAAGAAUAUAACAGUGGUUGUGGAGGUCACAGCUGUGGUUGUAUAACCUUCAAUGGUUGAGGAUGGUGUUGAAGCAGCAGUUGUUCUAGGAGCAGUUAUUGAGGAUAUAAGAGUGUUUGUGGGGGACACAGCUGUAGAAGCUUCAGUUGUCGAAAACAGUGCAACUUCAUCUGUUGCUGUAGAUGCAAAGAAUACAGGCAUGGUUGUGGGGUUCAGAUCUGCAGUUGUUGAAACUUCAGUUGUUAAAGAUGGUGCUGUUGUUGUUGUUGAAGCAGCAUUUGUUACUGUUGAAGGUGCAGUUGUACUUGGUGAAGACAUGAGUGUGGUUGUGGAAGCCUCAGUUUCUGUAGAUGGUGCUGUUGUUGUUGUACUUCGUGAUGAUAUGAGAGUGGUUGUGGGGGUCACCUCUGUAGUUGUGGAAGCUUCAGUUUCUGUUGAUGGUGCUGUUGUUGUUGAAGCAGCAUUUGUUGCUGGUGAUGGUGCAGUUGUACUUUGUGAGGAUAUGAGAGUGGUUGUGGGGGUCACCUCUAUGGUUGUGGAAGCUUCAGUUUCUGUUGAUUGUGCUGUUGUUGUAUUUAGUGAGGAUAUCAGAGUGGUUGUUGGUGUCACCUCUGUAGUUGUGGAAGCUUCAGUUUCUGUUGAUGGUACUGUUGUUGUACUUCGUGAUGAUAUGAGAGUGGUUGUGGGGGUCACCUCUGUAGUUGUGGAAGCUUCAGUUUCUGUUGAUGGUGCUGUUGUUGUUGAACUUCGUGAUGAUAUGAGAGUGGUUGUGGGGGUCACCUCUCUAGUUGUGGAAGCUUCAGUUUCUGUUGAUGGUGCUGUUGUUGUUGUACUUGGUGAGGAUAUGAGAGUGGUUGUGGUAGUCACCUCUUUGGUUGUGGAAGCUUCAGUUUCUAUUGAUGGUGCUGUUGUUGUAUUUAGUGAGGAUACCAGAGUGGUUGUGGGGGUCACCUCUAUGGUUGUGGAAACUUCAGUUUCCGUUGACGGUGCUGUUGUUGUUGAAGCAGCAGCAUUUGUUGCUGUUGAAGGUGCAGUUGUACUUGGUGAGGAUAUAAGUGUGGUUGUGGGGAUCACAUCUAUGGUUGUGGAAGCCUCAGUUUCUGUUGAUGGUCCUGUUGUUGUUGAAGCAGCAUUUGUUGCUGUUGAAGGUGCAGUUGUACUUGGUGAGGAUAUGGGAGUGGUUGUGGGGGUCACAUCUAUGGUUGUGGAAGCCUCAGUUUCUGUUGAUGGUGCUGUUGUUGUUGAAGCAGCAUUUGUUGUUGAUGGUGCAGUUGUACUUGGUGAGGAAAUGAGAGUGGUUGUGGAAGCUUCAGUUUCUGUUAAUGGUGCUGUUGUUGUUGCACUUGGUGAGGAUAUGAGAGUGGUUGUGGGGAUAACCUCUAUGGUUGUGGAAACUUCAGUUUCUGUUGAUGGUGCUGUUGUUGUUGUACUUGGUAAGGAUAUAAGUGUGAUUGUGGGGGAUCACAUCUAUGGUUGUGGAAGCUUCAGUUUCCGUUGACGGUGCUGUUGUUGUUGAAGCAGCAUUUGUUGUUGUUGAUGCUGCAGUUGUACUUGGUGAGGAUAUGAGAGAGGAUGUGGGGGUCACCUCUUUGGUUGUGGAAACUUCAGUUUCUGUUGAUGGUGCUGUUGUACUUGGUAAGGAUAUGAGAGUGGUUGUGGUAGUCACCUCUAUGGUUGUGGAAGCUUCCGUUUCUGUUGAUGGUGCUGUUGUUGAUGAAGCAGGAGCAUUUGUUGCUGUUGAAGGUGCAGUUUUACUUGGUGAGGAUAUAAGUGUGGUUGUGGGGAUCACAUCUAUGGUUGUGGAAGCCUCAGUUUCUGUUGAUGGUGCUGUUGUUGUUGUACUUGGUGAGGAUAUGAGAGUGGUUGUGGUGGUCACCUCUUUGGUUGUGGAAGCUUCAGUUUCUGUUGAUGGUGCUGUUGUUAAUGAAGCAGCAUUUGUUGCUGUUGAAGGUGCAGUUGUACUUGGUGAGGAUAUAAGUGUGGUUGUGGGGAUCACAUCUCUGGUUGUGGAAACCUCAGUUUCUGUUGAUGGGGCUGUUGUACUUGGUAAGGAUAUGAGAGUGGUUGUGGUAGUCACCUCUAUGGUUGUGGAAGCUUCCGUUUCUGUUGAUGGUGCUGUUGUUGUUGUACUUGGUGAGGAAAUGAGAGUGGUUGUGGUGGUCACCUCUAUGGUUGUGGAAGCUUCAGUUUCUGUUGAUGGUGCUGUUGUUGUUGAAGCAGCAUUUGUUACUGUUGAAAGUGUAGUUGUACUUGGUGAGGAUAUAAGUGUGGUUGUGGGGGUCACCUCUAUGGUUGUGGAAGCGUUGGUUUCUGAUGAUGGUGCUAUUGUUGUACUUGGUGAGGAUAUAUGUGUGGUUGUGGGAAUGACAUCUAUGGUUGUGGAAGCUUCAGUUUCUGUUGAUGGUGCUGUUGUUGUUAAAGCAGCAUUUGUUGCUGUUGAUGGUGCAUUUGUACUUGGUGAGAAUAUGAGAGUGGUUGUGGGGAUCACAUCUGUGGUUGUGAAAGCUCCAGUUUCUGUUGUCAUUGAAAAUGACAUUGCUGUUUGACCUGUAGCUGUUGCUGAAGAUACAUUUUCUGUAGGAGCCUCAGUUGUAGAUGCAAUUGAUAUUGAAUCAGUAGUUGUUGGAGAUGUAGUUGUGAAAGUCGCAGCUAUGCAUGUAUUUUGUUUGAGGAUCAUAGCUGUGGUAAGAGAUGCUUUAGUUCUUAUUAUACAAACUUCACUGGCUGUUGAAAUUGGUGUUGUUGGUGUUAUGGAGGUUGUACCUCCACAAACAAUGCACCAUACAUAUACUGUCAAGAAAAAAAAAAAAAAAAGAAAAAAAAAUCAUUUAAUUGCUGUAUUAACUUUUGACCAUUUGAAAUUUAAAUUACACUAUUAUCAAAUUCCAUGAACAUUUUAAUAGCAUUUGAUUACGUCACAUUUUUAUUUAACAAUUUCUCAACACAAAAUAUCCAGAUUAAGAGUAUACGUACAUAUGGUGAGGAAUACGGUCCAUCUGGCCUCAUAUUUUGAAAUGAAACACCACCUAAAAUAGAAGAUAAACAAUUUAUAUUUUGUCUUUAAUAAAUUACAAAACAUUCAUGUAUUCAUGCUACUGAAUGCAACUUCUAAUUCACUGUGUUUAUUAAACAAAAUCUGUAAUUGUAUUUAAGGAGUAUAAUUAUAUGAAGAAGCACUGUAAGUCAAGACAAAGCUCUCAGCCAGGCCAGUUUACAUUAUAUGUUAGGGACCAGUUGGACUCUGCAUUCAAGAUAUAUACAUUUCUAUCAGCUUGCAUUCCCUGGGAAUAAAACCCAUGCACAGAGUCAUUCAAACAAACACUAAACACCAUCAAGGUAACACAAGUGAAACUGAAAGAAUGCAAUAAACAUUAAUUAAAAAAAUUAGAUGUAACAUACUACCCUAAUGUACAAAACUGAUGAGAAAAAAAAAACUAAGAAACAUUAUUUAAAAAAAAAAAAAAAAAAAAAAAACAUCAAACUUGAAAUGUAAUGCAGGGAAUUCUGGGAAUAUCAAUUUAUGGUUAUUCACUGUAAAUUAUAUGUUCUUUUUCUCACUUCCAAAAAUGGUAUACUACUGUAAAAUUACAUGUAUUGUCCAAUUCAGUUUUUCACCGUAUAUAGUAUCACAUAUCAUUAACCAUUUAACAGGUUUUUACUAUAGCAUUUUUAGCAAACUGUAGUCUUUUACCGUUAAAUUCACUGUCAUUUUUUACAGUGUUCUUUAAGGUUAGAUGAAAGCUGUUCCCGAUUAACCCAGAGGAAAAUGCUAAUCCAGAUGACUGUGAAUUGUUUUGUAACUGUCUUUUGGCAUGAAUUUGCAGUUUUUUCAGCUCUAAUCAAUGCUCAUGAAACAUCUGAUGUGUAUUCAUGGUUUUGCUGUGACUACCACAUGCUAAUUACUGUGAAGUCCACAACAUCAUAGGGCAGUGGUUCCCAAUCCUGUCCUGGAGAGCCCCCAAAACUGCACCUUUUGAUGUCUCUCUUAUCUGACACACAUUUUAGGUCUUGGAGUUUUUACUAAUGAACUGAUGAGUUCAAUCAGGUGUGUUUGAUUAGGGAAUCAUUUAAAAUAUGCAAUGUUGGGGGCAGUGGUUCCCAAUCCUGGUCCUGGAGAACUCCCAACAAUGGACGUUUUUGAUGUCUCUAUUAUCUAACACACAUUUGAGGUCUUGGAGUUUAUACUAAUGAACUGAUGAGUUCAAUCAGGUGUGUUUGAUUAGGGUGACAUUAAAAAUAUACAGUGUUGGGGAUUCUCCAGGACCAGGAUUGGGAACCAAUGCCAUAAGGUAUCCUAUUUGUCAUUUUAGAUUUCAAAAGUCUGCUCAUGAGCACCCCCUGGUGACUGAAUACAUAGCCUCAAUGCAUACUUUUGCCAUCUAUCCAGUGCACUACCCAACAAAUUUAUACAGCAUUAGGUCACCAAUGUAUGAAUGUGAUGUCACCAGUAAUUAUUAAUCAUUUCUGAUUUAAUUAUCAUCUAUUAAAGCUCAAAAUGGGUUCGACAUAAUACCAAAUUUAAUAACUGGGUUACUUCAAUUUGCGAGACGGAAUUUUACGUAAAUCCAAUUGGCCUCAUUUUUUUAUCUAUCUAUCUAUCUAUCUAUCUAUCUAUCUAUCUAUCUAUCUAUCUAUCUGCCUGUCUAUCUGUCUGUCUAUCAUUCUGUCCAUCUCUCUGUUUUUCUACUUUUCAACAAACAAGGCUUUUUCAAGCCAACAUUCUUGCUUUUCUAGAUGAAAAUUACAGAUUUUUUUAUUUUUUUAAUUCAGUUUAAUUCUACUUCCUUACUUGGUGCCUCAUUUGAAAUUUAAGUUUAAGAAAUGAAUUGUAAUUUACAUUACAUUACAUUUACAUUUAGUCAUUCAGUAGACGCUUUUAUCCAAAGCAAACAAAUGAGGAUGACGGAAGCAAUCAAGAUCAAUAAAAGAGCAAUUAUAUGCAAGUGCUCUAACAAGUCUCAGUUAACUUAAUGCAGUACAUGUGGCAAAGUUUUUUAAAUCAUAAAUAAAAUAAAAUAAAAUAAAAUAAAAUAAAAUAAAAUAAAAUAAAAUAAAAUAAAAUAAAAUAAAAUAAAAUAAAAUAAAAAGAUAGAAUAGGAAAAGAAUAGAGCAAGCUAUAGUGUUAGAGGCCUUUUUUGCUUUUGGUAAUUGUAUAAUCAAUAAAAAAAGAAAACAGAUAGAAUACAAAAAGAUUAGAGAAGCUAGUGUUAGUUUCUUUUUUUUUUUUAAAGAAAACAAGUUGUUAGUAAAAGAAUAAAAUUAGAAUAGAGAGUGCUAGAGUUAUAGGGUCAAAUAAAGAUGGAAGAGAUGUGUUUUUAGCCAAUUCUUAAAGAUGGCUAAGGACUCAGCUGCUCGGAUUGAGUUGGGCAGGUCAUUCCACCAGAAGGGAACAUUUCAUUUAAAAGUCUGUGAAAGUGAAUUUGUGCCUCUUUGGGAUGACACAAUAAAGCGACGUUCACUUGCAGAACGCAAGCUUCUAGAGGGCACAUAAGUCUGAAGUAAUGUAUUUAGGUAAUGCAGUGCAAAUUUUAAUUUAGCAAUUUAAAAGGCAUUCUUAAUUAAAUUCUUAAUUGCUUUAAAGUUAAUACAAGUUUACAACAAAUCACAAAAGCAGACACAGGGCUAUUUUAAACAGAUAACAUUUUUACAUACUAUAAAUGUUGUUGUAUUGAAUAUUAUGUAUUAUUGAGUGCUAUACAGUAUUAUAUGCUGUAUGAUUUCAAUCAUUUUAAAUGUAAUAAUUCACCUACCUCCUUCGGCUGUUUAAAGUCAUAACCAUAUAGACCAAACGGUAUUGCAAAGCUCUGUGUGAUUUGUCUUCUUAGUUCAAAUGUAACAGACUGAAAAGAGUAAUUUUGUGCGAUACUAUAUCAAAGGUAUGUUGACGUGUAGGGUGUGGUAAAAAGUGUAGUUCAGCGACCGAACCCUGUAGUACGCAAUACAGAAGCAUGAUGGUAUUAUUU
ensembl:lncRNA